GAUUAUACUUAUCUAAUGCUCCUAUCGUUCGAAGUAUAAUGGAGAAUUAUCCUUGCCUAGUUGACCAGUCUCUACUGAUAUGAUAGAAAUGACGAUGUAUAACUUGGAGAUCUUGAUUAGGUUGGGAAAUGUAUUAGAUGUAGAAGUAGAAGAAACAACAAUGAACAAAAAAU